rnacentral:rRNA from 1 species
GACAGAGGGUGCAAACGUUGUUCGGAAUUACUGGGCGUAAAGCGCGUGUAGGCGGCUAAGUAAGUCGGGCGUGAAAUCCCACGGCUCAACCGUGGAAGUGCACUCGAAACUGCAUAGCUAGAGUCCUGGAGAGGAAGGUGGAAUGCUUGGUGUAGAGGUGAAAUUCGUAGAUAUUCGGAAGAACACCAGUGGCGAAGGCGACUUACUGGACGAUUGUUGACGCUGAGGUGCGAAAGCGUGGGGAGCAAACAGG